ensembl:lncRNA
AUGAAGGAACAUCUCACUAAAAGAGAAGUGUCUGUUUUGGGAGCUGUCCCCAAACCCCGUCCCGACUGCUUCUGCUCUACGUACAAAAUGCUAAAAUCUAGGAUCCUGUUAACCUGCAGCGGUGACGCCAAGUUCUCCUGCAACCGUUCCAACAGCGAGUCCCAUUAUUGUCAUUUUUAAAAACAUUAACAUCAUGACCUGGGUUUGAGUAACAACACGUCUUCACAGAAACCACAGACACAAGUUUCCUGAUGUCGGGGGAAGCCUGAUUCAGGUAAAAAGACGAAGGCCCCCCUUCCCUUUACUGGACAGACUAAAAAACACUAAACAUUGACAAAGCCGCUGGACCAAACAAAAUCAAGUAAACGAAACAAUCAACUUAGUAAACAUGCAUUUCCAAAACACCUAUAAAAAUAGAUUUUAUAGUGCGAAAUAUUUUUUUCAUCUCUUUAGAAAUCUUUAAAAUUGUUUAUUGUCCUGAAAUACUACCGUCAUCUUUUUUUUUAAUUAUUAUUUCCUGUGAGUUGCAGGGUCCUUGAAGUCAACAGGUUUGGUGGAAACCAAUGAAAUACACCCAAUGCACAAGACAAGCACAAGGGACUCUGGGAAUGUUUCACAUCUGAGGCUUUUAAGGUUCCAGUCUACUAAAUGCUACUUCCGUUUUUUAUUCCUCAACACGUUUGAGCUGGAAACUGCAAUCCCAGAAUUCCUCAGUGGCAAAAAAUGGCUCCUUAAACCUUUGAGCUAGUUUAGAGUCUUUUAUCUCUGAGAAGAGAGAGAGGUCUGUAGACUACACGACAGCAAAGCAAUAGCAGAAACAGAAAAAAGUAAUACAUACAAAAAGGAAGCAGCAAAAAAGGUGACACUACAUUGGAAGGCCACCACACAAAAUCCACUAACCUCCACUGAUUCACUAAGACUGCAAGGGGGCUAGAAGGAGAACGAAUGUUUCCCCGUCAAAGCCCGGACUAGCACAGAGAGGACAAAGGACAAAACAGCUACAUUAGCUCAGUAUAUACUGCAUAUAGUAACACACACUUAAGUUGCUAUGGAGACUGACAGCCAAUGACACUUACACAUUGUACAAGUUUACAGUUAUCACGCUGCAUAAUAGAUGACUUGAUGGAUGGCUGCCAAAGGAUGAAGUGACAGUUUUCUUCCGUUUUAUUACUUUAGUGUUUUUUUUUUUUUUUCCUUUUUUUUUUUUUUUACAUCAAAUCACAGUGUUUUAACACCAAACUGUGAGAGUAUAGUUUUUUGGCAACAGUGGAUAAAAAUUAGGACUGUGGAUUUUCAAAACACAUUUUUUGAUUGAAAAUGCAUGUCCUUAUUACAAUCUCUAUUUGAUAUGUGAUUUUCAGAGAGAGUUAAGGGGUAAGGAAUGAAGGGGGACUGAUUUCGGAAAGGACAUCAGGCUUGUAAGCUAAAGAGGGAGUGUAAACAAUUAAGCAAAAAAUUAAUUUAAAAAAUACCCAAAACAAUUAAGCAUAGCUCUGACCAAAGCCUGUUUGGAGUUUAACAUUCAUCUUCAAGUUUAUGAUGCAAAAUUAGCCUCAGUUGCACUGAGAGAUAAAAAAAAGACUUUAAUGUAAUAAAAAAAUUAUUUUCUGUAUCCCUUUCCA